UUAUUAUUUGACACGUCAUACAUUAGCAUAUAAAACAAUUUCUAGGUAUUUUCUAUCGUCUCGUUUUGUUUUUCUUAAAACUUAGUAAAAUAUUCAUCUCAUAUCCAUUGUUCAUCCAUUCCACUACCAUUUACCUUCCUUUUCCAAACCAGUUCGUAGAUUUCAAAAGAUCAGUUAAUGGUAAGUUUGAUGAAAUCCGAAAAGAAAACCAAUUUUUGAAGGUAGAUCUGAUGAAGGCGAAAAAUUCGACUACCAUGAUGAAGGUUUUUGUUGUUCUUGUUAUUGUUUAUUUAUUUUUUAGGGUUUAGGGAAAAAUCGUAAUUUGUAGUUAGUUAAUAUUGUUGUUGAAUGUUUUGAAAUGUUCUUGAAUUCUUGACAAUUUCUGGAAAAGUUGUGAGGUAAUGAAAUAUUGUCCAGAAAAUUUAAGAUUAAGUUGUUGUUGAUGUUGUUUAAUUUUAUGGGUAAGUUAUUUACCAUGACUACAAAAUUUGUAUAUUAAGUGUGUAAUCUGAUGGUGUUUAGUUUAUUUGAAGUAAUUCAUAUAGAUCUUGAUUUGUUGAUGCUAGUCAUUAAUUAUUAGAUUUCUGGGGAAAGGUUUUUAACCUGAUGUUGUUAACUUUCUCGGGAAAAGAUGCAUAUUAUUUUAUUUUUUUUGACAAGAUAUUAUUUGAAUUCUUGAUGCUAGUUGGAUGCUUGCUUAAAAUUUCUGGGAAAUCUUCGUAGGUUGUACAAAAUCAAUUACUUAAUUUUAUUUUUUUUAAUUUUGGUGUUAGGCAUUAGGCAAUCAUGAUAAUGUAUUAAAAAAAAUAAAUGUAAUUAAAUUUGUACACUUUAACGUGAAGAAGUCAACAUUUUUCUCUUACUUUAUUAACCGUAUUGUUGCCAGUUGUGUUAAUUAUGCAACGAAGACUGUGUGACAUCCCAUCUAUCUCUAAUCUAUCAAAAUCAUCCGUUGUUUGGACUUAUAGUUCAAAAGCCUACAUUAGACUAAUAAAACCUAUAUUAAUUUGAAUUGUAAUCGCAAGCAAUGCAAUUUGGUUGGGAUUUUACUGAAAAGUUACUACCAAUUGGAAUAAAAUUUAAUGAAAAAUGGAUCAUUGACAUUGAGAAUAAUAUUUUUGUAAAUGGUC
rnacentral:lncRNA from 1 species